rnacentral:rRNA from 1 species
GUAGGGCGCAAGCGUUGUCCGGAAUUAUUGGGCGUAAAGAGCUCGUAGGUGGCUGGUCGCGUCGGAUGUGAAAGCCCAUGGCUUAACUGUGGGUCUGCAUUCGAUACGGGCCGGCUUGAGGUAGGUAGGGGCAAGCGGAAUUCCUGGUGUAGCGGUGAAAUGCGCAGAUAUCAGGAGGAACACCGGUGGCGAAGGCGGCUUGCUGGGCCUUACCUGACGCUGAGGAGCGAAAGCGUGGGGAGCGAACAGGAUUAGAUACCCUGGUAGUCCACGCUGUAAACGUUGGGCGCUAGGUGUGGGGGUCUUCCACGAUCUCCGUGCCGGAGCUAACGCAUUAAGCGCCCCGCCUGGGGAGUACGGCCGCAAGGCUAAA